CCAAAACCAAACCCCCCAUAAGAAAAUCCUCUCCCUUCUCCCGCUACUGUCUUUCCUCUCUUCUCUCACACUGCAUAUAUUCAAUAUCAAUGAAGGUUUUUCACAGUGAUUAUGUAAUUGGGUUUGGAGGGAGUGAGAUGUUAAAACUUGGGUCUGCAUUGGGAAAGGGAUUUGUGGAGUUUAGUGAGUGGAAUUUGAGACUUGGGUGUUUGUUUGUGGUGGAUUUUCAGUAGGAAUUCAGAAGAACUCAAGGGCUUUAUGUGCAUUGUAUAUAAAGCAGUUGCUAAUAUUGUUGGUUCAUAUUUCAGAUGGUUCACGGCUUUCAAGACUAAUGUUAGAUCAUUACGGUAAGAAUAGUUUAAUGUUAUAUUUCAGUUGCAAAAGAAUCAUUAUAAGGCUGGUACUUAUGUCUAACAAUGCCUGUGUUUUAUAUUGAUAUAAAACUCGGCAACAUAUAUGAUAUAUGCAGUAAUACAUUUAUCUUCAUCUACUACAUUAAUAAUCAAUAACCUUACUUUGCUUUGUGCCUAGUACUAUGGACACAUUAUUCUCUAUUUGCACUUUCAGAUUAUUUUUUGCAUCAGGAAUUUCCAAAUCAAUGUGUUCAAAUGCUUGUGCCUUGGCAUUGCGCGAAUUUUGUGAAGAAGCAACCAUUGUAAUGUUUGAGCCUUCAGACAUGGAAAUACUGAUAUGGAUAGGAGAGAAAAUAGAGAAGAUUCAUAUAUAUUAAGAGGACGAUGAAGAAUUAUUUAAUGCAAUUGCUGUGGUACUUGCCUCCGUUCCUAAAAGAUUCCGACGGCCACAUCUUUUUCUCCUGUAGUUCAAAACAUAUCCUAUAUACAUGAAGACUCUCUAAGAAGAAAUGAGUUUGGAUGUUCAUAAUUUGGUGGAUAUCCGUCACAGGAGCAUAGAAAUGAUUGUUAUAAUGUAAGAGAAUCAAUAAGCGCACAUUGCGGAUUUGUUAGAGGAAUUCACCCUGGACAUCAGGCAGGAUUCAAUAUUGAUGAUUCUGACCUCCAUGAGAUGGAAAAAUGUAAAGGAGUGGUGGUUGCAUCACCUAUAUUUGGAUUUUGCACUAUGGACUGUGAGUGAUAUGUGGAGGAUAUACAAAAGUCGGGUGAAAAAAGAUCAUUAUCUUCGAGAUGAUAAUGUUGUGGAAGGGCUGAAAAACAAUCCUUUUAGAUUGAAUAUUGUAAGGAUGGUUUAUAAGUUAGUACCUUAGUCUCGUUUCUUUGUAGCUUUCAACUUGAUGACUCAGUUUGUAUUUUGAAUUUUAUUUUUGUCAAUUUUCAUG